CGUAGGGUGCGAGCGUUAAUCGGAAUUACUGGGCGUAAAGCGUGCGCAGGCGGUGAUGUAAGACAGAUGUGAAAUCCCCGGGCUCAACCUGGGAACUGCAGUUUGUGACUGCAUCGCUGGAGUGCGGCAGAGGGGGAUGGAAUUCCGCGUGUAGCAGUGAAAUGCGUAGAUAUGCGGAGGAACACCGAUGGCGAAGGCAAUCCCCUGGCCUGCACUGACGCUCAUGCACGAAAGCGUGGGGAGCAAACAGGAUUAGAUACCCUGGUAGUCCACGCCCUAAACGAUGUCAACUGGUUGUUGGGUCGUUCACUGACUCAGUAACGAAGCUAACGCGUGAAGUUGACCGCCUGGGGAGUACGGCCGCAAGGUUG
rnacentral:rRNA from 1 species